AGUGAACGCUGGCGGCGUGCCUAAUACAUGCAAGUCGAACGGAGUGGCGCACGGGUGAGUAAUAUAUAGCUAAUCUGCCCCUUGCUGGAGGACAACCGUUAGAAAUGACUGCUAAUACUACAUAGCAAGGGAUGAGAAGAUAUCGUAUCAGCUAGUCGGUGGGGUAACGGCCUACCGCGUCUAUGACGCGUAACCGGUCAGAGAGGAUGAUCAGUCACAUUGGAAAGGAGACACCGUCAAUACCCUUACGGGAGGGAGCAGUAGGGAAUAAUGCGCAAUGGGGGAAACCUUGACGAAGCAACGCCGCGUGGAGGAUGACACUUUUCGUAGCAUAAACUCCUGUUGUUAGGGAAGCGGUACCUAACGAAUAAGCACCGGCUAACUCCGUGCCAGCCGCCGCGGUAAUAC
rnacentral:rRNA from 1 species